GACGAACGCUGGCGGCGUGCUUAACACAUGCAAGUCGAACGGAAAGGCCCUGCUUUUGUGGGGUGCUCGAGUGGCGAACGGGUGAGUAACACGUGAGUAACCUGCCCUUGACUUUGGGAUAACUUCAGGAAACUGGGGCUAAUACCGGAUAGGAGCUCCUGCUGCAUGGUGGGGGUUGGAAAGUUUCGGCGGUUGGGGAUGGACUCGCGGCUUAUCAGCUUGUUGGUGGGGUAGUGGCUUACCAAGGCUUUGACGGGUAGCCGGCCUGAGAGGGUGACCGGCCACAUUGGGACUGAGAUACGGCCCAGACUCCUACGGGAGGCAGCAGUGGGGAAUAUUACACAAUGGGCGGAAGCCUGAUGCAGCAACGCCGCGUGCGGGAUGACGGCCUUCGGGUUGUAAACCGCUUUCGCCUGUGACGAAGCGUGAGAGACGGUAAUGGGUAAAGAAGCACCGGCUAACUACGUG
rnacentral:rRNA from 1 species